CUCUAUGGCCAUGCCACCCUGAAUGUGCCUGAACUCGUCUGAUCUUGGAAGCUAAGCAGGGUCGGGCCUGGUUAGUACUUGAAUGGGAGACUACCUAGGAAUACUGGUGCUGUAGGCA
rnacentral:rRNA from 1 species